ACGGAAAUAAAUAAAUAUAGUUUCUAAAUACAAUUCAAGCAUAGCAAUCCAUCAAUCUCUCCCUCAAAACAUACCAAGAUAACACAUACAAGUAGAAGAGUGAAAAGGGAAAUGAAUUCAUCCAAGGGUCAUAUAUCACAGGGUAUGUAUACAUAUAACUUAAAAAGUGAAUAUGAUAAAAACAUGUUAGAUGGAUGACGUAACUACAAUCAUAUUCACUUUGUGCAUUUAGCAAAUCAUGCAUAGCUUCUCACUUCCAAGCCUUUCUUACCAUGUUCCCCCUACAUCAGGCCAUCAUCACUUUUCUACCGUGGCCUGAUAUUAACAGAAAGAAAUACAAUUCUGAAUAAUAACCAGGCACGAUGGUUGUUCAUGAGUGGCAUAGGAACAUCCAGACUAUGUAAAUUUUUGGGUCUCCUAUUCAAUCACAAUGUGAGAAUUGAACCACAUAGCACAAACAGGAAUGCCAGGCUCUAUGGUCAAAGAUGAACAACACAGAAGCAACUAUAGCAGAUAUACAAGCCAAAACUAAAAGAUGGUUUAAUUUACAUACCAACCAAAUGAAGACAUCUGUACCAUGGUCUAGAACAACUGCUGUAUCAGACUGCAUGACAAGAUCAUAAGCUGGCAAUUCUUC
rnacentral:lncRNA from 1 species